GACGAACGCUGGCGGCGUGCUUAACACAUGCAAGUCGAACGAAGAGCGAUGGAAGCUUGCUUCUAUCAAUCUUAGUGGCGAACGGGUGAGUAACGCGUAAUCAACCUGCCCUUCAGAGGGGGACAACAGUUGGAAACGACUGCUAAUACCGCAUACGAUCUAAUCUCGGCAUCGAGGAUAGAUGAAAGGUGGCCUCUACAUGUAAGCUAUCACUGAAGGAGGGGAUUGCGUUGAUUAGCUAGUUGGAGGGGUAACGGCCCACCAAGGCGAUGAUCAGUAGCCGGUCUGAGAGGAUGAACGGCCACAUUGGGACUGAGACACGGCCCAGACUCCUACGGGAGGCAGCAGUGGGGAAUCUUCCGCAAUGGACGAAAGUCUGACGGAGCAACGCCGCGUGAGUGAUGACGGCCUUCGGGUUGUAAAGCUCUGUUAAUCGGGACG
rnacentral:rRNA from 1 species